rnacentral:rRNA from 1 species
UACGGAGGGUGCGAGCGUUGUCCGGAAUCACUGGGCGUAAAGGGCGCGUAGGCGGCGCGGGUAGUCAACGGUGAAAGCUUGGGGCUCAACCCCGAGUCGGCCGUCGAUACUCCCGUGCUUGAGCACUGUAGAGGCAGGUGGAAUUCCGGGUGUAGCGGUGGAAUGCGUAGAGAUCCGGAAGAACACCGGUGGCGAAGGCGGCCUGCUGGGCAGUAGCUGACGCUGAGGCGCGACAGCGUGGGAGCGAACAGG